UGGGGAAUAUUGGACAAUGGGGGGAACCCUGAUCCAGCCAUGCCGCGUGUGUGAAGAAGGCCUUAUGGUUGUAAAGCACUUUAAGCGAGGAGGAGGGUACUGGUAUUAAUACUACCAGGUACUGGACGUUACUCGCAGAAUAAGCACCGGCUAACUCUGUGCCAGCAGCCGCGGUAAUACAGAGGGUGCGAGCGUUAAUCGGAUUUACUGGGCGUAAAGCGUGCGUAGGCGGCUAAUUGAGUCGGAUGUGAAAUCCCCGAGCUUAACUUGGGAAUUGCAUUAGAUACUGGUUAGCUAGAGUGUGGGAGAGGAUGGUAGAAUUCCAGGUGUAUCGGUGAAAUGCGUAGAGAUCUGGAGGAAUACCGAUGGCGAAGGCAGCCAUCUGGCCUAACACUGACGCUGAGGUACGAAAGCAUGGGGAGCAAACAGG
rnacentral:rRNA from 1 species